AGCCCAUCUAAAAAUCAUCUUGUUAUAGCUUGAUAGUGGCUCGAUAAGCCAGCUGCAAACAAUGUCGCCAUUAGUGAUUUCAGUUGCUGCUCAUUCCAUGCAUUGGAAUACCUUAGUGUUAGUCUGGUUUCAUGCAGGCUUUUAUACUUGUACGACUGCACAUGGUGUUCCUUUCAGCAGCAUUCAGAAUCACAGUGGGAAAGCUGAAUAAUGGUAUUACGGUAUUUGUGGAUUUUUUUCUUUCUUAGAAAUCUCUAAGCAAUGGCUUAAAGCUAACAUGGGAUUGUACAUAAUCAGGUCUCCCUUGAUGCCCUUGUCCAUGAGGUGUGAGCUAGAGCUGCACAAGGCUGUGUGAUGGGAGUGACUCGGUUGCACCUAGACUCUGUCCUGUGCUGCAAAUACAUAAAACACCCUAGACCUUGUGGGGGAAGAUGGUGGAGGUUGAGGUAGAAACCAGUUGUGUGAUUCUGAAUGAGGAUACCAUGUUCACAAGAACAUGGGAGCUGUUGUGUUGGAUCAGACCAAGUGGUCAUAUGCCAGUGGCCUUUAAGUUGUAUAUCCUCCCCUUCUAAGUCCCCACAGGAUAACAGGAUCUUCUUGUCAAUGACAUUCUUGCCUUGGCCAAAUUGGUCAACAAAAGCUCCUGAAGGAGAUAACCUGAAGGGAAAUCCCAUGUCUGUGGGGGUAUUUCAGUCUUCUCAUCCUGACCCAUCUCCAGCAUCUGUCUCAUCUCCUGGGACUGAGAGCUGGUCGGGGAUAUAGGAAACAGGAUGGACUAAAUGUUAACUAUGAAGAACACAAAGGCAAAAUAACAACUGGAGUAAUGAGAAAAGACUGGUACUGGCUGGACAAAGAAACUGAAAUGAGGAAGCCUUUGGGACCAUGGGUAAUUAGGGUCUCAGAGGCAGACUAGGGAAAGAGUACGGCUGUGAGACAGGGCUUGGCAUUUGUUUGCUGAAAAGAUGAAGGACAAGGAUUUGUGGCAUAAUGUGGGGAGGUGGUUGCUUGGCAACCUUAAUUCAGUCCCCUUAUGAUACAUGUGUGAUCACAUAUUGUUUUUAUGCAGGAUUUCUGGCUCAAGUGUUGUGCAGGAUGGACCUGCUCAGGGGACACAGUAGGGCUGUGCAAGAAAGGCAGGUGAUGCCUGCAUGACUCCUGACUUAUUUAUUGCUUGAGCUGAAAAGUAGAUAAUGAAUGAAGAAGGGUAAAGGAAGGCCAUGUGACUGAACUGUGCACUGUUGCACAGGACUUUUCCUGCCUAUUGCUAAUAUAGCCACUUAAAACAGUUUGGUGUUUUAUUUAUUUAUUUAUUUGUUUGUUUGUUUUUCAGUCUCUGUAUGUGGAACCUCCCAUAGUCUAAUAGCUUCUAAUUAUCUAAUUUUAAUGAUCAUAGUUAGAGUCCCAAAUCCAAUUUGCUCAACACUCACACCUGUGACUGAUGCUGCAACUUCUGUGUUUGAAAUAUUGCUAAAUACUUUAAAAUUGCAUCUUUGAUGCAUCAGAUAGGACAUGUAAAAUUAGUGAAUACCUCUGUGCUUAGUUUUUCUCUGCCUCUACUCCCUUUAUUUUAGACAGCAAUGCUUCCUUUUCUUUGCCACCAUGUAUUUUUGUGAAGCUAAAUUAAUUUGCAUUUCUGCAGCACUCAGAUGUUGAAGUGAUGAGCACCAUUGAGAAGCUCUGGAGGAAAUUAAUAAUUCUUCCAUCAUAACACAAUUGAAUAAUGGGCAGUAAACAAAGCAUGGGCCACACAAUGAGUUAUGAGGUAAAAGCAAAAUAUUGAUUAGCUGUUUGGUGAACGAAGCAGUGGUCCUGUGAAUAAAUAGUGAUUAAAAAUUGUGUCA
rnacentral:lncRNA from 1 species